rnacentral:lncRNA from 10 species
GUGGACAUAGCUCUAACUCUCUGAAGCUGGCUGAAGGAAGCAGGUGGACACAAAAGUCCAUUCUUUGGUGCAAUUUUAUAGUUGGGAAAGUCAACACUGUGUGGCCAAAUGAACACAACUGCAUUUGAUCAAAGAGAUAGUUGGCUAACAGAAAAAAAUUUCUUCAUACAAAGAGUUGGACAGGUGAAACAUCCACAGUCUUUCUUGACCUGAAUCAAGCUCAGAGUGACAGUGUUUAAGAUUAUAUGUCAAGUUCUGUGUGAAAUGAGAGACCAUGGGGAUUCAUUAUUGCUGGAGUUGACGCUUUGAGAUUUUAUGGAACAAUGUAGACUCAUGCCCAGUAACAGAUCUGGAGAGGAGAAACAGGCUAAAAGCCAAUAUGUUUCACAAGAGCAACUGAAACCAAUAUUUCAAAUGAAGAACUGACUCGUACACAGGUACUGUAAGAAUCCUGGGAAGUGGAAAGAGAUUCCAAUCUCACCUCAUCAGGGAGCAUCGAAUGCUCUCUUAAG